rnacentral:lncRNA from 1 species
UUUUAAAUAAUCUCUGUUAAAUUAUCAAAUAGUUAUGUUUUUUUUCAGUUUUUACAGUCACAGUAGAAAGAACAUUUUCAGUAAUGAAAUUUGUAAAAAAUGAACUUUGGAAUAAGAUAGUAGAUGAAUGGAUAAAUGAUAAUUUGAUCGUUUAUGUAGAAAAAAAAUAUAUUUAAUAGUGUUGAUAAUGAGUCAGAAUAUGAAAUCGUGUAGAGAACAAUUAUAAAUGUGUUAUCAAAAAAUUUAUAUACUCAAGUUUCAAUUUUUAUAUUUUAUUUUUACUUAAUUUAGUCUCCAGUAAAUUAUUUUUUUAGAUUCGCCACUAUGAAUCACCACUUGGAAAAUUGGCCCAAUGGCCGCGGCCAUCAAUUUAUUGAACAGUGAACACGCAUGCUCAUCCUCAUAUAUAUCUCUAGCUUUCUAGUAAAGCCAAAUUGACUAGUCUGCGAAGUAUAAGAGUUAUUAAAAUUCCUUACCUGUGUAACGGAGAUUCGUUUGAGAUAAUUUGAAUUGACGCAAAGGACAAGUCCAUCCAUAAGCAGCUCCCACAAUCCACAUGGAGGAUCAUCAAUGGACCGGUUAUUUAGACUUGAGAGAUCAUGCAUGGACCACCUGUUUAGUCAAGGAGUCAUGCUUCAAGUAAUUAUCUCCAAUUUGUCAUCUUUUGACAUAAGAAGCUUUUGAAAGUUUUGCUGAAAUGAAUUUGAGGUUUAUGCCCUUAUCUUAUAUUUUUAAGUAAACACGUGUAUUGGGUAAAAAUUUGAGAUUUAUCUUGAUUAACCAUGAAUUUGAGUUUGUGUGCUUGUUAUGGAACUUCUGCAGGUUGCCACAAACUGAACCAAGCACUGCAACUUGUUGCAUUUCCUUAACUUAGAUUUGUACAAUCACAGCACGCACGCACACAAGCACAAUCGAUGGAGAAGGAGAGAGUGUCUAAGUUGUAUGAAUAAUAAAGUCCCAAUUACUUAAAUACUGCAGCUGAGUAUAGGAACCUCUCAUGUAUUAGUACAAAAUUAUUUAUCUUAUUAUAAGUUAAAAUAACACAACUAAAUGUUAUACUUGUCCAUAAUAUACUACUAUGUAAAAUGUGACAAAAUCAGACUCAUUAACAUAAUAUUUGAUCGCUUAAUGAAUGAGUCUAUCAAAAUUGCUUCUUAAUAUUUAACAUUAGUCAUAUAUUAGUUUGGUAAAAUAUAAACCAAUUAGAAUGAUUUAUGUUAGUUCACAAUAUGUGAAAAAUAAAUUCAAUAUGUGUAAUUUCUUGAAAUACUUCUAGAUUUUAUUUUAUGUAUGCUCUCUCAAUUACUAGGUACUAUUCUUGUUACGGGUAGUCGAUCAAAUAAUUUUUAAGCAAUUUUAUUCGGUUAAUUACCCAAAUUCAAAUCAUAUAAAUAAUUAAAAAUAAUUGUCUAAUUCUCUACCUUGUAAUAAAUAAAUAAAGGGAGUUGCUAGUUGCCAUAGAAAUUGCGCAAUCAAGUGCAUGGUGAACCAUUGAGUAUUUUUUGCCAUUUCCAUGUGAUUGGCAUAAUUGCAAGUCAACAUUGAAUUUUUUUUUUAAUUUAUAUUUUUAAUUCGAUGUUAUGUCCCAUGUUCAUAAUUGCAUGCUAUAAGGACACUUUCAUUGGGUUUUAAUUUGUCACCACAAUUACAAUGUAAAAACACCUCGAGUAAUCGAGUUCUUUCAUAUACAGUCAACGGAAUCGCCGCCACCGUUAAGUAAUUCGCCUCAAUGAUUAUCCUAACUCAUAAUAAAUAGGAAAACUAAUAAAAGAUAGCGAUACUUAGGUUUGUGUGUGGACUGUGGAGUGUAGUAUUGUUCGUCAAAUGAGUGUUUUUGUAACUAUCUUAAAAUAUGAAAUAAUUAGUUUUUGAUAGAUUUAUAAACUUAUUUUGUUCACAAAAUAUAAUAAUAAAAAUAAUAAAAUUAUAUUUAACAAAUUGUUAUGAAAAAUGAUCAAUGAUAUUUGAACAACAAGAAAUACCGCCACGACAAAAAUACUACUACAACAAAAGUGAACUUACUAUUAUAUAUAAUAUUAUUGUAGAGCUUAAAAGAAUGAUACUGUCAUGCUACACUAUCUUUUUAUACAUCCUUCUUACCAUUUGUCCACAUGGCAGCAUCAAGCUAAUUUUAUUAGAAGGAUGAUAUUUAAAGCUAAUUUUAUUAGAAAGAUGUUAUUUAGACUCCUAAGUUUCAAAUUUCAAAGGUUGCUUUUUUGUCCCUUUAUAGAGUGCCACAUCAAUUAGUGGGGACUAUAAAGGGUAUCAAAGCUAGAUAUUAUAACAGUGUGUUUGGAUCAUAGGAUAAUAGGAUAUUAAAAUACGGCUCAUAAUGACUUAAUACCAAGAGUGUUUAAUAAAAUUAAUGAGCUCAUUGUGGUGCAUUGUUUAGGCGCAUUACACAAGGCCGAGGUUCUCUCGGGUUUGUUUAAUGAGGUGGCUUUUGCCACAGUUGAGGCAAAAGUUAAUGGCUCAAUUGAGGCAAAUGUAUUUUAUUAUAA